rnacentral:rRNA from 1 species
AUGGGACGUAUUGGGGACGAUCCAAUACAUCAUGUCUCUCAAUUAAUUGAUCAUGACAAUGGUACGUGGGAUGUGGAUCUAGUUCGAAGGAAUUUUCUUUCACCAGAUGCGGAUGCUAUUUUGAAUAUACCAUUGAGAUCGGCUGGUGGUGAAGAUUAUCUUGCGUGGGACUUGGAGAGAUCCGUUGUCUACUCUGUUAAAACGGCCUAUCGUGCUCUAAUGACUCGGAAAGAGCACUCAGCUCUAGAGGAAGGAACGAUAGCAGAGACUUCAACUUGAGAUAGACCCAUGUGGACCGCCUUGUGGAAACUAAAGGUUAUUCCCAGAGUCCGUGUGUUU